rnacentral:lncRNA from 1 species
AUGGGAACUUGAGGAACACAGGGAAUUCUUGUUCAAUAAUGAACGCAAUGCGGCUUGGAAAAGACUCUUGGUAGACACGAACAAAAAAGUAUAGCCAGAGCAGCCUUCAGAAAUCAUUCCUGCAGUUUUUGGAAGCGUUUCUCAAGGUCUGAAUGGAGGCUGUGAAGUUACUAACAAAAUGAACAGGCUCUGCUUUUCAUAAUUGGCUUCAUGACUGUGGGUUUUGGCAACAACUCUAGAGGAACACAGGGCCCGGAAGAGGGGCACAAUGAAGCCACUCACUGUAAUAACUUAAGCAACAACAAUGCACCUUUUCAGAUUAAUGCCAAGAAAAUAUAUGCAGAAGAGACACCCAUGUCAUUGAACAAGAGGUUCUAAUAUUACAUAACAGGGUAGUGGUAUGUAGCUGUAGUGGUAUGUGCUCUCUCUCAAUGCUGAGCUGCAGCUCCCAGUCAGCCACUGGAUCAUGAGGGUAAAAUACGGAUACUUGACAUCUUCUUAAAGAACAUCAUGCCUGCUAAGCCAUCCAGUUUGGAUGCCCCAGUGCCUUCCACCAGCCAUUCUCAAGCCUCAUUAGAAGAGAGAGAUUGAUGACCCUGUAGCUGCAGCAUCCCAUCAUCCUGCAUUUUAGUUCAAUGCUUCAAACGUUCUUCAGGCCCAGUGUGCUUUCAGCUGUGUAUGUUAAUGGGAGAGUGAGCAAGUUUCGUCCUUGUGCCUGCAUCUGCUGGGAAACGAUAAGAGCCCAACAUAUGUUAGAAGCAACAAUCGCAGACAAAGAGUACAACUUGUUUUUGAAGACUCAAACUGAAACACUGGCCCUUCCUGAGUCUCAAGCCUGCUGGCCUUUGGGCUGGAACUAAACCCUCAGCUCUCCUGUGUCUCCAACCUGCCCGCUCUGCCUAGUGAUCUUGGGACUUCCCAGACUUUAUAAUCAUGUGCAUCUCCUGCUGUUCCCAAUCUACUCAUCCUAGGAACCAACUCAGGUCAGGAGAAGCAAGGAAAGCCUUACAACCUGUUACUGACCGGAGGGGAUGAAGGAGACAGGGAAACUACAACACAUGGAAUGUGGUAUCCUGAAUGGGACCCUGGAACCAAAGAAUGACACUGGGGAAGAACUGCUGAAAUUCAAGUAAAAUGUGGAGUCUCGUUAGUGGCAAUGUACCAAGGCUACAAACCUGUACAGCAUGUGAUUCUACUGAAUAUACGGGCAAUUGUUAACACAAUGAUGUGAUGACUGAUUUCCAGCAGCUGAAGGGAAGUCUUUUGGAUUAACUUUUGUGAUUGAUUUGCUCUGGGUUCAGUCAGCCUGCAAGGCAGAUGUGAUGGUUGGAAAUAUAGAGUGUGUAUCUUGGCGGAUGAAAAACUCACUCAUUCUCUUCCAGAGAGCAAGGUAUUGUCAUGACUUGGGGCAAUAGUUCAUCAUAUUAGAAACUAAGUUCCCUCCAUGAUAUGAAUAUAGUUCUGCUUUCGUUUAAACUUUUAAGGAAUUCACUCUCACUCCAUUCCACCAAUAAUCAACUACCCCCUGUGAAUUUUUCUCCUUUGAGGGUCAUAAUCUUCCCUGGUCAAACAUAACUUCUGGCUUCACCACUUUGUCAGCAGUGAAUGUGUAUUCAAAAAAUGAUAACUAAUUUACAAUGACCCCAAUAAACAAUAAUUGGAAGGUAAAUCAGAGUCUGAAAAAUGGUAACAUAUUCAUACAUCCUCAAAUAAAACAGAAUUGACUUUUUUCUAUUCCCUACUAUAUAAAGAUUUUGAUGAAAAUUUAUCUAAGCUACUUAAUUCUAAAGGACUCAACAAAUUUUGGUUUGCUGGCCCUGUUCUAUUUACUAUUGUGGAGGUCCAGGUAAGCUCUGUGUCAUCGGGUCAUGUCUGGGCAAAAAGACCCAAGGAAAGUUGAGGUGAUGGGUCCAACAUCUUAGUCAAGGAUGGAGUAGAGGCGGGAUUUGAACCUAGACCUUCUAACUUCUAGCUCUUUCCCAAAGCAAACUUUUUCAAUAUCAUUUUAAUACACUUCUUAGUAAACAACAUAGAUUAAUAAUUUGGGGGGAUUUAUGUAUUUAGAUUUACUUAAAAUCAUUGGUUCAGUGUUAGUCUUAUCCACCUGUUUAAAUCAUUAGUUAAUUCAUUAUUAAACUCUUAAUUGGAAUUGAUCCAGUGCUACAAAUGAGAAAAAUAUGAAGAAAAGGAUUUGCAAAUAAGCAGCAGUCCAGAUGUCUGCAGCAUAUGACAUGUGGCUUGACUGUGAGUCAUCAUUGCCUAUCUCUAACAUAGCACAGCACUGACUUGGAAAGAUGUCAGUGGUGGAGAAGCUGACUCCACCUGUCAAUGCCUGUCUCUGUGCACAGACAGGACUCCACAGCUCUGCAUGUGCUAAGACCCAGUGUGGCGGAAGGAACUGCUGUUUGUUGUUUUUCUUCAGUAAAAUGGUAUGGGGGAUAUUCUUUGCUAUGUUAGACUUAAGAGGUUGAUCCCAUAUCUGGCAGAUGGCAUUCUCCAAAGGCGAAGCAACACACCUGAAGGUAAUGUUCCAGUCCAGUCUCAUAGUGAUCUGAAGAAGAAGAUAACUGGAAUCAGGAGGUGUGGUGAUUUACCAAAUGAGCAGGUGUAGACUUUGAAAAUCACUGAUUUUAGAGUACAUGACAUUGCUAUAUGACAAGUUGACUAUAAUGAUGUAUUUGAUUAGAAAUAAUCUUGCCAAAAGCAAUUUGAUCAAUAUUAAUUACUUAGAAAACAAACUAAGAAAUUGUAGAA